AAGAGUUCGUAGGUGGUUGAAAAAGUUAGUGGUGAAAUCCCAGAGCUCACUCUGGAACUGCCAUUAAAACUUUUCAGCUAGAGUAUGAUAGAGGAAAGCAGAAUUUCUAGUGUAGAGGUGAAAUUCGUAGAUAUUAGAAAGAAUACCAAUUGCGAAGGCAGCUUUCUGGAUCAUUACUGACACUGAGGAACGAAAGCAUGGGUAGCGAAGAGGAUUAGAUACCCUCGUAGUCCAUGCCGUAAACGAUGUGUGUUAGACGUUGGAAAUUUAUUUUCAGUGUCGCAGGGAAACCGAUAAACACACCGCCUGGGGAGUACGACCGCAAGGUUAAAACUCAAAUGAAUUGACGGGGACCCGCACAAGUAGUGGAGCAUGUGGUUUAAUUCGAAGAUACGCGCAGAACCUUACCAACACUUGACAUGUUCGUCGCGACUCUAAGAGAUUAGAGUUUUCGGUUCGGCCGGACGAAACACAGGUGCUGCAUGGCUGUCGUCAGCUCGUGUCGUGAGAUGUUGGGUUAAGUCCCGCAACGAGCGCAACCCUCACUUUUAGUUGCCAUCAUUAAGUUGGGCACUCUGAAAGAACUGCCAGUGAUAAGCUGGAGGAAGGUGGGGAUGACGUCAAGUCCUCAUGGCCCUUACGUGUUGGGCUACACACGUGCUACAAUGGUAUCUACAACAGGAAGCAAGACUGCGAAGUUAAGCAAAUCCCUAAAAGAUACCUCAGUUCGGAUU
rnacentral:rRNA from 1 species